rnacentral:sRNA from 1 species
GUGCCAGCUUUGGAGGCUGAAGUCUCUCUUUAGCCAUAGCAUGGUACAGCACAGGCAGCAUCAGUGCAUGCUUCUGCACAGACCUGGAGAGGCUGGAACAGGGUCUGAGGGGAAUCCAGUCCCCAUUGCCUAUUCAGGUCUUGGAGUUC